CGUGAUCACGUUGUGAACCUCGCCACGCUCCGCGUUUUUGGGACAACCGUCACUUCUGCCAAGUUAUAGAGCCGUUAAGGGAGCCCUUCUUGCCUCUUUGUUGUAUCCACGAAAGGAGAGACAUGCCCAAAGACAGCAAAGCGCCGCCGUCGCCAUCAGACGAGGAGCUACGCGCCCGCGCCUUAGAAGGGGAACGCUUGAAGUUGUUGCAGCAACUCCUCAUGGAUAUGUUACGGUGGACUCGUCGAAAGAUGGAAAUACUCCAGGAGCUUGUCGAAUCCCUGGAAAAUCUGGAAUAGUCGCAUACAGUGUGACUCCUCUCACUUUUUUUUUUUUUCAAAUGUA